GAUGAAGAACGCAGCGAACUGCGAUAAGUAAUGUGAAUUGCAGAAUUCAGUGAAUCAUCGAGUCUUUGAACGCACAUUGCGCCCCCUGGUAUUCCGGGGGGCAUGCCUGUCCGAGCGUCAUUGCUGCCCUCAAGCACGGCUUGUGUGUUGGGCUUCCGUCCCUGGCAACGGGGACGGGCCCAAAAGGCAGUGGCGGCACCAUGUCUGGUCCUCGAGCGUAUGGGGCUUUGUCACCCGCUCCCGUAGGUCCAGCUGGCAGCUAGCCUCGCAACCAAUCUUUUUAACCAGGUUGACCUCGGAUCAGGUAGGGAUACCCGCUGAACUUAAGCAUAUCAAUAAGCGGAGGA
rnacentral:misc_RNA from 1 species